GUUAAGUUAGUUUAUUACAAAACAUCAGCCUGUGGAUUUGAAGAAAGGAACUAAAUUCCUACUUAACC
rnacentral:tRNA from 1 species